rnacentral:rRNA from 1 species
UACGUAGGGCGCAAGCGUUGUCCGGAAUUAUUGGGCGUAAAGCGCGCGCAGGCGGCCUGAAAAGUCUAUGGGUGAAAUCCCCAGGCUUAACCUGGGAACUGCGUCUGAUACUGGAUGGCUUGAAUUCGGAGAGGGAAUGCGGAAUUCCAGGUGUAGCGGUGAAAUGACGUAGAUAUCUGGAGGAACACCGGUGCGAAGGCGGCAUUCUGGACCGAUAUUGACGCUGAGGAGCGAAAGCGUGGGAGCGAACGAGG